rnacentral:lncRNA from 1 species
CGGGGACGCGCGCCGACAGGCGGAGAGCCAGCUUCUGCCUUAAAGAUCACCCGAGAGCUGAGAAACGUGUUGCCAAAAGAAAUUGCAUAAAAAUAUUCGCACUAGUGAGCUCUGGGUGGCGGGGUGAUUGUGAGCAGUUUUUACGGGCUACCGUGGCUCCUGUUUUUCACAAAGUAUUAACAGGGACUACGUCGGGUCAAAAUUACUUCUGGUCAGCCGCGGGCCCCAGGUCCCAGGGUUGAGCAAGUCCGGUCUGCGGCAACACGAGGCUCUCCCGUGACGGGGCCUCGCCCAAGGCUCCCCCAGCAGAUCUCCUGGGAUUCAGAACUACCAAAUCGCCGGCAGACAGGUCUCCAUCAGAGGAAGCCUGUGACAGCCGCCAGGAUAAAAUAAAAAGGACAAUGGCAAGUGAUAGCAAAGACGUAGAGAAGCUGGAAUUCUCCUAAAUCCUUGGUAGGAGUGUAAAAUGGUGCAGCUUCUUCUAUAAUUCAACAUCCCCUACCAUACUCCCAGGAACCCACCCAAGAGAAAUACGACCAGAGAGACUUGCAUGCAAACAUUCCUAACAGCAUUGUUCACGCCAACCAGAACGUCCACCAACCGCGGAUGCAUGAGCAGCAGGGAAACGGCCAUGAAAAGAAACUGCUGAGACAUGGGCCUACGUGGAUGAACCUCAAAAACGCUAGGCCAGGUGAAAGAUGCCAGACAAGAAAAUUCCAUUAUUCCAUUUAUGUGACACUUCUUAAAAAGGUAAAUCUCUAGAGAGAAAGCAAAUUCAUGUUUGCCUGGGGGUGAGAGUGGGAUCAACUGCAAACAGGCACGAAGGAACUUUUUUGGGUGAUGAAAAAUAAAACUUUGGAUGUCGAACAUAUUUUAAAACUAGAUUGCAAUGAUAGUUGCAUAACUGUAUACAUUUAUUAAAAUCGUGG